rnacentral:rRNA from 1 species
AGAUUGAACGCUGGCGGCAGGCCUAACACAUGCAAGUCGAGCGGCAGCACGGGUACUUGUACCUGGUGGCGAGCGGCGGACGGGUGAGUAAUGCCUAGGAAUCUGCCUGAUAGUGGGGGAUAACGUUCGGAAACGGACGCUAAUACCGCAUACGUCCUACGGGAGAAAGUGGGGGAUCGUUCGGACCUCACGCUAUCAGAUGAGCCGUAGGUC